rnacentral:rRNA from 1 species
GACGAACGCUGGCGGCGUGCCUAAUACAUGCAAGUUGAGCGCUGAAGGUUGGUACUUGUACCAUCUGGAUGAGCAGCGAACGGGUGAGUAACGCGUGGGGAAUCUGCCUUUGAGCGGGGGACAACAUUUGGAAACGAAUGCUAAUACCGCAUAAAAACUUUAAACACAAGUUUUAAGUUUGAAAGAUGCAAUUGCAUCACUCAAAGAUGAUCCCGCGUUGUAUUAGCUAGUUGGUGAGGUAAAGGCUCACCAAGGCGAUGAUACAUAGCCGACCUGAGAGGGUGAUCGGCCACAUUGGGACUGAGACACGGCCCAAACUCCUACGGGAGGCAGCAGUAGGGAAUCUUCGGCAAUGGACGAAAGUCUGACCGAGCAACGCCGCGUGAGUGAAGAAGGUUUUCGGAUCGUAAAACUCUGUUGGUAGAGAAGAACGUUGGUGAGAGUGGAAGGCUCAUCAAGUGACGGUAACUACCCAGAAAGGGACGGCUAACUACGUG